rnacentral:rRNA from 1 species
CAGUAGCCGCGGGAAAACAGAGGAUGCAAGCGUUGUCCGGAAUUAUUGGGCGUAAAGGGCGCGUAGGCGGCGAUCAAAGUCAGGCGUGAAAUUCCUGGGCUCAACCUGGGGGCUGCGCUUGAUACUUGGUUGCUUGAGUGGGGAAGAGGGUCGUGGAAUUCCCAGUGUAGAGGUGAAAUUCGUAGAUAUUGGGAAGAACACCGGUGGCGAAGGCGGCGACCUGGUCCUUGACUGACGCUGAGGCGCGAAAGCGUGGGGAGCAAACAGGAUUAGAUACCCCCGUAGUCCCUGUCUCUUAUAC